GACGAACGCUGGCGGCGUGCUUAACACAUGCAAGUAGAACGGAAAGGCCCUGCUUUUGUGGGGUUCUCGAGUGGCGAACGGGUGAGUAACACGUGAGUAACCUGGCCUUGACUUUGGGAUAACUUCAGGAAACUGGGGCUAAUACCGGAUAGGAGCUUCUGCUGCAUGUUGGGGGUUAGAAAGUUUUGGCGGUUGGGGAUGGACUCGCGGCUUAUCAGCUUGUUGGUGGGGUAGUGGCUUACCAAGGCUUUGACGGGUAGCCGGCAUGAGAGGGUGACCGGCCACAUUGGGACUGAGAUACGGCCCAGACUCCUACGGGAGGCAGCAGUGGGGAAUAUUGCACAAUGGGCGGAAGCCUGAUGCAGCAACGCCGCGUGCGGGAUGACGGCCUUCGGGUUGUAAACCGCUUUCGCCUGUGACGAAGCGUGAGUGACGGUAAUGGGUAAAGAAGCACCGGCUAACUACGUG
rnacentral:rRNA from 1 species